rnacentral:rRNA from 1 species
AGUGAACGCUGGCGGUAGGCCUAACACAUGCAAGUCGAACGGCAGCACAGUAAGAGCUUGCUCUUACGGGUGGCGAGUGGCGGACGGGUGAGGAAUACAUCGGAAUCUACUUUUUCGUGGGGGAUAACGUAGGGAAACUUACGCUAAUACCGCAUACGACCUACCGGUGAAAGCAGGGGAUCUUCUGACCUUGCGCGAUUGAAUGAGCCGAUGUCGGAUUAGCUAGUUGGCUGGGUAAAGGCCCACCAGGGCGACGAUCCGUAGCUGGACUGGGAGGAUGGUCAGCCACACUGGAACUGGGACACGGUCCAGACUCCUACGGGAGGCAGCAGUGGGGAAUAUUGGACAAUGGGCGCAAGCCUGAUCCAGCCAUACCGCGUGGGUGAAGAAGGCCUUCGGGUUGUAAAGCCCUUUUGUUGGGAAAGAAAAGCAGCAGGUUAAUACCACGCUGUUCUGACGGUACCCAAAGAGUAAGCACCGGCUAACUUCGUG